UAUGGUUUCUCUAUGGUUUCUCUAUGGUUCCAACUUCCUCCUCCCAACUUCCGCCCUUCUUGAAGCUCUUCCGCCCUUUCUUUGUUUCUCCACCCUUUCCUCCCACAGCCUUCUUCUUCGUCACUUCCUCUUUGUCACUUCCUGCCUUGUCCUUUCCUUUUGUUUAUAAAGAAGAGUGCCAGUUAGACACAACAAUAUGGCGCCAAGAAUUCAGGCAGCUUUGAUGGCAACAAUGUCGGAAGUGGCAGCAUGAAUGACAAUGGAAACUCAUAUGGGUUUGCAGCUUAUGGAAACGGUGGAAGUUUUGAUAACAACAAUGCUGGUGACAACAGCUUCAAUGACAAUGGAAACACUAACAAUGGCCCCAUUGUCUGGUAUUAGGCAUCCAGAAGCAGAAAUCCACCACAGAAGCUGAUAAAUGCCUAUGCCCUGUAACCCUUUUGAAGACCACUUUUCUGUUGUUCUCUCUUGAGUGAUUCUGUCUUGUUAAAGUCAUUGAACCAUCUUCUGGCUGCUGCUCCAACCCCUCAUAAGCCCCUUCUCCUAAUUUACCAAUGUAUUAUCAGAUCAAUAAAUGUGCCUUGUACAAUUAUUUCAAAAGAAGUAAACCAACCCAC